rnacentral:rRNA from 1 species
GACGAACGCUGGCGGCGUGCUUAACACAUGCAAGUCGAACGGAAAGGCCCUGCUUGCAGGGUACUCGAGUGGCGAACGGGUGAGUAACACGUGGGUGAUCUGCCCUGCACUUCGGGAUAAGCCUGGGAAACUGGGUCUAAUACCGGAUAGGAGCCAUUUUUAGUGUGAUGGUUGGAAAGUUUUUUCGGUGUAGGAUGAGCUCGCGGCCUAUCAGCUUGUUGGUGGGGUAAUGGCCUACCAAGGCGGCGACGGGUAGCCGGCCUGAGAGGGUGGACGGCCACAUUGGGACUGAGAUACGGCCCAGACUCCUACGGGAGGCAGCAGUGGGGAAUAUUGCACAAUGGGCGCAAGCCUGAUGCAGAGACGCCGCGUGGGGGAUGACGGCCUUCGGGUUGUAAACGCCGUUCGCUAGGGACGAAGCUUUUUGUGACGGUACCUAGAUAAGAAGCACCGGCUAACUACGUG